AACGAACGCUGGCGGCAGGCCUAACACAUGCAAGUCGAGCGCCCAGCAAUGGGAGCGGCGCACGGGUGAGUAACACGUGGGAAUAUGCCCUUUGGUUCGGAAUAACGUAGGGAAACUUGCGCUAAUACCGGAUAAGCCCUUCGGGGGAAAGAUUUAUCGCCAUUGGAGUAGCCCGCGUCUGAUUAGCUAGUUGGUGAGGUAAAAGCCCACCAAGGCGACGAUCAGUAGCUGGUUUGAGAGAACGACCAGCCACACUGGGACUGAGACACGGCCCAGACUCCUACGGGAGGCAGCAGUGGGGAAUCUUGGACAAUGGGGGAAACCCUGAUCCAGCCAUGCCGCGUGAGUGAUGAAGGCCCUAGGGUUGUAAAACUCUUUUCGGGCGGGGACGAUAAUGACGGUACCCGCAGAAGAAGCUCCGGCUAACUUCGU
rnacentral:rRNA from 1 species